CGAUCUCUUCCGCGCGGGCGCCGACCUCGGCGAGACGCUGCGCUUCGAUCGGUCCAUGCUGCACGUCGCCGGCGAGGGGAGGUGCCGGUCGCUCUUCUCGCACGCGGGCAUCCGCGCGCACCACCUCGCGGCGCAUCGCGACAUCGUCGAGGGCGUCAACGGCGCGCUGCGGGCGGCGAGCGCGGGGGACGGCGGCGACGCGAAGUUUCGACGGCACGCGUGGCGGCAUCUCUUCGGGCGCGUCCACGUUUAUGUUUACACUGGUCCCCAUACGACCGCGCACGCGUUGUGCGCGCCAUUUCCUUGAGGACUUUCUCGACUUUCUCUCCCGGCGCGUGUUUUUAAUCCGCACACCCCCCGCUUUCAAUCCCGACACGCCUCGACCCCUUUCAACUCCACUCCUGACGCCUUUCAACUCCGCCCCGACGUCGCCUCGUAUGGACAAUUACCCUCGACCCUCAGCGGCGACGGCCCGCUCUGGAACCGGUUCUGGAGCACGCCGCGCGAGAGCGCGGAGGAGGAGCGCGCGGUGUGCGACGAGCUCGGCGCGGUGCUGGCUAAAGUGGGCGCGCGGCGGAUGGUGAUCGGGCACACGAUACAGGAGAGAGGGAUGGCGACUAGGUGCGGCGGCGGGUUGCAUCUCAUCGACGUCGGCGUGUCCGGGAAGUACUUGGGUCGACCCGCGGCGUGGGCGUGCGAGGAAGGGGUGGUGACGGCGACGUACGAGGACCGCGUCGAGGUCCUGGACGACGGCGUGGAGGAGGAGGAGGAGGGGAGUAGCGAGUAGACGAGUAGCGCGAUUAUGAGUAUUAACGUGCGUGCGGCGUCGCGGCGCGCGUCGCGCGCGUCGCAUGCCCGACAGCUGUCACACAGCAGGACAUUCAUCGGACCGAUCGUUCGCGUCGUCGUCGUCACUUCGCGCGGCGCGACGGACGCGCGGCGCGCGCGCGAGGGAACGAUGGCGGCGUCGCUCGUGACCGCCGCCGCCGCGGCGCGCGUCGCGCGAUGCGAUGGCGCGUCCGCGAGCGCGGGCGCGACGCGGACGACGACGCUUCGAGGCGGUCGUAGUCGUUUCGGAGCGUCGUCGUCAGCUCAUCGGUUUCGUCGCGUUCGCCUCUCGCCCAUCGUCGCUGCGUCGUCAUCCUCUGCGGACGACGACGAAGACACCGCCGCGAGGACGGCGACGGCGACGGCAACGGCGGCGGAGCGGAGCAAGUACGAGGAAACCUCCGGCGCGGUCAAGGCGCUCGUCAGCGGCCUCACCGCGAUCGUGAACGCCGUCGGAUCCGUGACGUCGUCGUCGUCCUCCGGAUCGAACGACGGCGCGAAGCUGACGCGCAAGGAGCGAAGAGACGCGCGGCCGUUCCCGUCCUCGCCGCGCGACGCCACCGCGCUGCGCGACGACAUCGCGCGCGAGUUCACGGAAGCGAAGUACCUCUGGACCGGGGACAUCAACCCGGAGAUGUACGACUUGUUUUGCACGUUCACGGACCCGACGUUGUCGUUCGCGGGGUUGCAGACGUUCGAGACGAACCUGAAGAACCUCCAGCCGGUCCUGCGGAGGCUCGUCAGGAACAGCAACGUCGAGUUGUAUUCGUGCGAGAUCGUGGACGACGGGAGCGGCGGGAGCGGCGGUGGGAGCGGCGGCGGCGGCGGCGGCAGCGUUCGCGCGAGCUGGCGGAUGACGGGUGACCUCAACCUUCCGUGGCGCCCGAGGAUCGAUCUGACCGGGCAGACGACGUUCGGGUUUAAGGACGCCGGGGUCGAGCGCGGGUGCUUGAUCGUGAGCUACCUCGAGGAGUGGGGGAUAUCCGCGCUCGAUGCGGUCGCGCAGCUCGUCGCGCCGUUCAAGUGGUAGAGAGGUAGCGCGGGCGCGUAAUAUUUUUUCUUUCACUCGAGCUCGCGCGCGCGCGCGGCGAAGCCGUCGCGCCCCCUCGCCGCGCGUUCCCACCCGUCCGACAUCGAACCCGCCCCACGCGAACGACCGCACCGACGCAACGCCCACGACGCGCCAGCGCACGUCGUGACGCAGCGAUGUUUGCGCGUGGGCGAGGACCGAACGAGCGGACGCACAGCUGUGCGUCCGCCGCGCGCGAAAAUAAAUCACGUCCGAGAAAUAUCCGUUGCUCGCGGCACAACCGCACGCGCGCCGCACGACGCACACGCACCCCCCCAACCCCAUCCGCACCCCCCGCUCUCUCCGAACCCCUUCUCUCUCCGCCAUGUCCGGCGUCGACGCUUCCGACGACCAGGUGCGCGCCUCACGCCCUCUUCCCCCCCCGCGCGCGCGGCCGCGUUUCGUGACGCGUCCAGCGGCUCUUUUCUUUUCGCUCGCGCGGCGCGGCUUCGCGCGGGCGCGCGCGCGCGACGGGGCAUCUCCGCGCCGCCGCCGCGCGCGCUUUCGACUCACGAGGUCAUCCCCUGCCCCACCCCCUGUGCAGGACCUCUGCGAGUACGAGCUCCUGCGCGAGGAGAACAUCAGGAAGAACAAGGCGUUCAUGCUCUCGCUCGGACUUCAGGAGCUCGGGCAACGCGUCGGCGGUCAAGACGCGCCCGCCGCCGGCGGCGCGACCGGGUUCCAGCCCGUGCGCCGCCGCGUGCCGCAGACGCCCGCGCCCGCGUCGCACCCGAUGAGCCUGCGCGAGCGCACGACGCCCAUCAACUACGCGGAGAAGGACCCCGCGCCGCCGCGGGCGAAAAACCCCGGCGCGAAGCGCGCGCGCGACGAGUUCGACUCCGAGCCCGAGGAGUCCGUCGACGGCCGCGACUCCGACUCCGAGUCGGAGUGGGAGUCGGAGUGGGACAACGAGCCGCACCCGGACUUGAACUACAACGCGGGCUACACGAGCUUGAAGCAGGUCUACGACGAGGACCCGGAGAAGCAGGCGCAGGGGAUGCGGAUGGCGCACCUGAAAGUCGCGAAGAACGACGACGACUGGCACCGCUUGUUCAACAAACAGUCGCGCGAGAGGCGGCUACAGCGGAAACAGCUCCUCGACGGGUGGGCGGCGAGGAAAGCCGCGAAGGAGGCGAGGCGCGCAGCGAGGGAGGCGAGGCGCGCGGCGAGGCUCGCGGCGAAGAACGGCGAGCCGCUCGCGCUGGAGCUCGAGGAGGAGCCCGAGCCCGAGGAGGAGGAGGACGACUGGCGCCCCGCGCCGCCCGCGCCGACGAACCGCGGCGGCGGCGGUCGCGGCGGCGGCGUCGGCGGCGGCGGCGCGCGCGCGAUCACUUUCGCCGUCCCGACCGGGGGCGUGGUCGAGAUCGUGCCGGGUAUUAACCCGAAGAAUCGUCGCGCGCACCCUGUGUUCGCCAAGGCGCCGACCGGGCCGAAGCCGGCUGGCGGGUACGUUCACUCCCACCGCGCGACGACGACGACGACGCGACUUCUUUUCAUUUCAAAUUUCUACCCGCGCGCGCGCGUUUUAGUUUUUCCGCCGCCGCGGCGACUGACCGUUCCCGCCCUCGCCGCGCGCAGGCUGUGCGAGAUGGGGUGCGCCCGCUCGCACGAUCUGUGGAACACCCCUCUGUGGCGCCGUAAGGUCCUGAACGGCGUGGAGGUCAUCUGCUGCGUCGCGUGCCGGACGACGGUGGAGAACCACGUCAAGUUCCCGCGCGGCGGCGUCACCGUGUGCGCGCUCUGCCCCGCGACGGAGACGAGCGAGUUCCGCGUCGUCAAGGGCACGGGCAUCGUCUGCAACCCCUGCAGGUGCAAGCUCCGCAACAAGAAGAAUCGCGACGCCGGGAUCAAGUGCGUCGAGUGCAAGCAGCUCAACCGCUCGGACCUGAGGGCGGUCAAGGGGGAGGCCGGCGCGCACAUCUGCAACGCGUGCUGGAUCACGAAGCGCACGAAGGAGCUCAACGACGCCAGGACGAAGUGCGUCCGGUGCGGUAAGGGAGGCAAGUCGGCCUGGACCGCGUGCCCGGACGGGUUCUGCUGCGCCACGUGCUACAAGAAGGAGCUCAGCGCGGCGAAGAAGCAGAAGAAGUAAGCCUCCCAUCCGCGGCUUCCCGCCGCGGUCGUCGGCCGGCGGUCGUCACUCGACUUCCGCGCGGCGCGGCGACGCCGUCGCGACUCCCGCUUCUUUUUUUUCCUCUCCACCGACGACGACGACGACGACGAAACGACGACGCACAUCACGCAGCAGCAGCACCAGAACGCGCGCGGACAUCACAAACGACGACGAAGUGUGAUCGGCUGUGACAGCCACGAUAUGUCAUCACAACGCACAGACAAACACGCGCGCGGCGCGUCUACGUAAUACGAAACACGACGCACGCACAUCAUCAUCGCACGCGCCUCAUCUCGUCUCGCCGCGCGUUCAUCCGGUCGUCGUUCGUUCGUUCGUUCCUUCCUUCCUUCGUUCCUUCCAUCCUUCGUCGUCUCCACGCACGCAGCGCCGUCGUUUUCGUCUCGCUCAGCCGCCGCCUGUCCGUCCAUCCCCGUCCACCACCCUCGGGCGCGGUCGUCAGUCGCUCGCGUUGUCGUCCGACGCGUUCCACGCGGCGGCGAUUCUCUCCCGCUCGCGCGCCGCCUCCGCCGCCUUGAACUCUUCGUUCUUCUCGUGGUCGAACAGCUCGCGGAGCGGCGAGACCACGGCGACGACGUCGUCCACGACGUCCUUCGCGACGCGAAGCUCCCGCAGCGUCGCGACGAGGUUCUCCGCGACGCAGUCGAAGUGACGCUCGUCCAGGCCCUUCUCGAGCAUGAGGUUUUUAUGCGCGGCGAAGAUACCGCGUCCGCCGUACGCGCUCGCGUCGCCUCCGAACGCCACGCGCAUGAAGUUGAACUGGUGCUUCUUGAGCGCGUCCAUGUCCGCGCCCUCGAACAUGCUCGCGAUGCGAUCGUCCGCGAGGUUCUUCUCGUAGAACAGGUCCACGGCGGCGGUGAGGGCGUCUUCGCCGCCGACGCGUUCGAAGAGCGUCGUCGUCGUCGUCGUCGUCGUCGUCGUCGCGUCGUCGUCGUCGUCGUCGUCGCGAGCGCGCGCUCGCACGACGACGCGGACGGCCGCGGCGGCGGCGCGCGCGCGCGUCGGCGCGCGCGCGCGUCGGCGCGCGCGCGGCGGGAGCGAAGGCGGGAGCGACGGCGGCGACGGCGUGCAUGUCGGUAUGGCGCGCGGCGACGUCCGCACCUCGGACGAUACGACGGAGAAGGAACGGUGCCAGCAACAGCAACGCAACAGCGCGGUUUGCCUUGCAUAGCAACCCGCGCCGGAGCCUGGCCGCCCUCGGUCGCGCCCUCGCCGCGCGCGCGUCGCCGCCGUCGUCCUCGUCCACGUCCGCGCCGCGAGCCGAGUCCCGAGUCCCGCGCGCGCGAUGGCGUCGGCGACGGCGUCAGGGGCGACGGCGUCGGCGACCCGAGCGAUCGACAUCGACGUCGCGAUCGCGCGCGCGUCGUCGUCGUCGUCGUCGUCGUCCCGCCGUCCGCGCCAUCGUCCGCGCGCCGCGCGUCCGCGCCCGUCCGCGUCGCCGCGACGCCCGCGCGUCGUCGUCGCGCGCGCGUCCUCCGCCGAAGACGCCGCCGCCCGCCCCGUGCUCGUCGUGUCCGACCUGGACGGCACGAUGGUCGGGGACGACGACGCGACGCGCGCGUUCACGCGGACGUGGACGAACGGAUCCUCCUCUUCCGCGCUUCGCGGCGCCGGCGUCCCCGCGGGGUCUGCGCUCGUGUACAGCACCGGCCGCUCGCUCGAGUCGUUCGCGUCGCUCAUCGAGGAGAAAGCCGCGGUCAUGGCGACGCCCGACGCGCUCAUCUGCGCGGUGGGCACCAAGGUGUACCGCCGCGUCGUCGUCCCGAACGCGCCAGCGUCCGUCGCGCGCGCGGCGGCGGCGGCGCGCGGCUUCCGCGCGGGCGCGUACGCGUGGAUCGAAGACGACGCGUGGACGUCGCGGCUCGACGACGGAUGGGACUUCGAGAAGGUGGCGGCGGCGGCGGCGGCGGCGGUCGCGGCGGCGGGGACGGAGGACGCGCACUUCCGGCCCGAGGAGGAGGCGCGUUCUAUACACUGGUCCCCAUACGACCGCGUCGGCGUGGUGAACGCCGAUCCUUAAGGACUUUUCCCGUCGUCUCUCUCCGCCCACACCUCGCUUUCAAUCCCCGCCCUCGACGCCUUUCAACUCCAUCUCACGCCUUUCAACUCCACCCCGACGUCGCUUUGUAUGGAACGUCCCGGAGUUCACGACGCAUAAGAUCACGCUCGGGGUGAGGGACGAGAAGGUCGAGCUCGUGACGGCGUCGAUCGCGGCGGCGACGCGGAAGGAGGGGCUGGACGUGAAGACAAUCGCGAGCGGCGUGGGCGGGUGGCAGUACCUCGACGUCGUCUCCAAGGGCGCGGGGAAGCUCGAGGCGCGUUCUACGCGCUCGUUCAUUUUUUCGUUCACAUUUUUUUUCUCUCUCUCCGCCUGCCGGCCGCUCUUCGACCGCGACGCCCCCUCGCCGUUCGACUGACCGACCGACCGAUCGACGCGACACUUCAUCGUCGCAGAGCCUGGAGUACGUCCGCGAGACGUUCGGCGCGGACGUCGACCGGACCGUCGCGUGCGGCGACAGCGGCAACGAUCUCAUGAUGCUCGAGGGGGCGUGCAAGGCGAUCGUCGUGGGAAACGCGCAGCCGGCGUUGAUGGACUG
rnacentral:lncRNA from 1 species